rnacentral:snoRNA from 1 species
GGAUCGAUGAUGACAACAAGUCUCUGAGGACGGUGAUCAAGUCGUAACUAUGCCAAUCUGAGCUCC